CGAAGUUCCUGCUGAUUCCUCCCCCUGAAUCAACCAGCAAGUUCCUGGCACUAGGACCCUGUAGACAGGGAACCCUGAGCCUGCGCUCUAAAGAGAGAGAUGCACCAUUUCACAACUUCAGCAAAAGCCAAAGCAGCCAACAAAGCCACAGCCCUAUCGGCUGUACUGGGCUCUGCCUUUUGGGCAGCUCGCCGGCCACUCCCCAAAAGCAGAGCAUUCCAUCCUUUCUCUUUUUAAACCCACGUCAUCAUCUGAUCAUAAUGGAAAUCAAUCUCCUCAAACCACCAUGCAAAGGCGUAUCCAUGGCAACCUCAAAAGGAAGGACACAGAGAUGAUGCUUCAGUGGCUGCAGCAGGAAAAGCUCUUCGCCUCUCGGUACCUUAAGUAUACCUGAGUAGCCAGUGGUCAACAUGGGUUUGCUGCUCUCCUCACUGCAAUAAAUGACGGUGCUGUUGUAAGAGAUCCAGGCUGCCUUUGGCUUCCUCCAAUGGGGAACCUGAACAAGGACCCCCAAACUCCUGUUCACAUAACUAGAGCCCUUCCCCCCAACAUGUGAUGCUGAACAGAGAAGAACAUCUGUGCUUACCUGGGUGAAAUCCUAGGCAUUAUAGAAUGUGGGGAAGAAUCCAUGGGAGAAUCCUCCCCCUGAGGAAAGGGAUGCUGUUUUCCAGGAGAAGGUGGGUUUUCAGACUGAAAAGCUUGGAGAGGGGAAUCAAUAGAGAGUAAAUCAAAGAUGACAAAGCCAUGGGGGAGGACAUGUGUGGGAGAGAGAAGCAUCUAGAUUAGCUAUACCAGCACUGCCCAAUAGACAUAAAUGUAAAUUUUAAAAUUGUUUUUAGUUGGGAAAUAGGUUAACAAAUUUUAAAGAAAAUUUCUGGAGAAAACUUAAUUUUUUAAAGACAGGAUCUUGCUCUGCCACCCAAGCUAGAGUGCAGUGGCGCUAUCAUGGCUCACUGCAGCCUCAACCUCCCUGGCUCAAGUGAUCCUCCUACAUCAGCCUCCAGAAUAGCUGAGAGACCAAAGGCCACCGUUUCUGGCUAUUUUUAAAAAUUUUUUGGAAAGACAGAGUCUCACUAUGUUGUCCAGACUGAUCUUGAACUCUUGGGCUCAGAUGAUCCUCCUGCCUUGGCUUUCCAAAGUGCUGAGAUUACAUGUGCGAGCCAAGAUAAAAUUUUAUAUAAGCCAGCCACACAUAUAAUUUUAAAUUUUUUAGUAGCGACAGUUUGUAAAAGUUAGAAAAAAAAAAGGUGAAAUUAAUUUCUUUUUCUUUGAGACAGGGUCUUGUUCUGUUGCCCAGGCUGGGAUACAAUAGCAUGAUCUCAGCUCACUGCAACCUCCACCUCCCAGGCUCAAACGAUCCUCCCACCUCAGCUUCCUAAGUAGCUGGGACUGCAGGCAUAUGCCACCAUGCCUGGCUAAUUUUUAUAUUUUUUGUAGAAAUGGGUUUUUGCCAUGUUGCCCAGCCUGGUGAAAUUAAUUUUAACAACAUACUUUAUUUAAACCAGAAUAUUCAAAAUAUUGUCAUUUCAACAUGUAAUCAAUACAAAAAUGAGGCAUUUUACAUUCUCUUUUUUUGCACUGUCUUUAGAAUGCGAUCUGUAUUUUGCACAUUUAUAGUACAUCUCUAUUCAGAUGCUAAGUUUUCAUGGGACAUCCUUGAUCUGGUUUAGACUACAUAAAAUUUACAAUUGAAAAAGUAGAUUUAUUUAUUUAUUUACUCAUUCAUUCAUUCAUUCAUUCAUGUCAGAGAUAAGGUCCUUCUAUGUUGGACAGGCUGGCCUUGCAUUCCUGGCCUCAAAUGAUCCUCUUGCCUCGGCCUCUCAAAGCUGAGAUUACAGGCCUGAGCCACCAGGCUCAGCCUGGAAAAGUAGAUUCAGGUAUGCAACUUAUUUCAAACAUUUUAACAUAUUUUCCAAUAACUGAACUGAAUACUUAAAUGUAUACAUUUUUAAACAUAAAAUUAAUUAAAAAUAAAUAAAAAUUAAAAUUCCAUUUCUCAGUUACAUUAGCCACAUUUCAAGUGCUUAAUGGCCACAUGUGGCCAAGGGCUACCAUAUUGGUCAGUACAGAGAUAGCGCUUCACUCCUUCUUCUCCCUGCUUUGUUACACUUUUAUGAGAGGGUCUGGCCCUUCAGGAAAGGACCACAUGUGUGUUCAUUGCCUGGUUUGUUAUAACAUACAGGUAGAGUAUGAGGAGACAAGGUGGCUUAGGGAGAGCCUGACCUACUGUACCCCUUUUCCUUCUGAGGUGGGGUAGGGAACAGCAUGAGGGUGGUCCCCUGGGGGUUCCUUGAAAACUGUGUGAUAAGAAGAAUCCACAAUGUAGGAUAACCCAGAACGACCAUAAAAAGUACAAUGGCGACCAAGGACCAUGCAAUUUUAAAAAGUAAAAGAAUUUUCAAAAGUAAAAAGAAGUGAAUCACUGUAGAAAUCAUAAAGAAAAUAAUCUACAGAUGAAAGCUUUUUGUUAAAACAAAUACAGAUCCUUGAAAAGAAUGUAAGAUCUCAUUAGAUUCUCUAAAAUCAGGAAUACGAAGAUGCCGAAUAUCUCUGAGUCUGAUCAACACUGUAUUUGAACUAGUGCAUCAAGGCAAGAAAAACGUAUAUAAAAGACAUAAAGAUUAGAAAGAAGGAAAUUAAACUGUCAUUUUUCACAGAUGAUAUGAUGACUUACAUGGAAAAGGCCAAAAUAGGCCGGGUGCAGUGGCUCACGCCUGUAAUCCCAGCACUUUGGGAGGCCAAGGUGGGUGGAUCACUUGAGGUCAGCAGUUCGAGACCAGUCUGGCCAACAUGGUGAAACCCCAUCACGACUAAAAAUACAAAAAUUAGCUGGGCAUGCUAGCACGUACCUGUAAUCCCAGUUACUUGGGAGGCUGAGGCAGGAGAAUUGCUUGAACCUGGGAGGGAGGCAGAGGUUGCAGUAAGCCGAGAUUGCACCACUGCACUCCAGCCUGGGCGAAGAAGCAAAACUCCAUCUCAAAAAAAAAAAAAAAGCCAAAAUAAUCUGUAAAUUAUUAGGAUUGAUUAGAAAAUAUUUAGCAACGUGACUAGAUAUAAAAUCAACAUGCAAAACUCAAUUGCAUUUCUCUAACCAACAAUGAAAAGUUAAAUUAUAUAAUUUUUGAAAUGAAACUGAUGCACCUAGUAAUAAACAACAAAAUAUGUGCACAACCCGGCCAGGCUCAGUGGCUCAUACCUGUAAUCCCAGCACUUUGGGAGUCCGAGGCAGGCGGAUCACAAGGUCAGGAGUUUGAGACCAGCCUGACCAACAUGGUAAAACCCCGUCUCUACUAAAAAUACAAAAAUUAGCCAGGCAUGGUGGCACGCGCCUGUAAUCCCAGCUACUCAGGAUGCCGAGGCAGGGGAAUUGCUUGAACCCGGGAGGCAGAGGUUGCAGUGAGCCGAGAUUGUGCCACUGCCCUCCAGCCUGAGUGACAGAACGAGACUCCGUCUUAAAAAAAAAGGUGGGGUGGUCAGGCAGGGUAGCUCACGCCUGUAAUCCUAACACUUUGGGAGGCCGAGGCAGGCAGAUCACUUGAGGUCAGGAGUUCGAGACCAGCCUGGCCAAAAUGGUGAAACCCCGUCUCUACUAAAAAUACAAAAAUUAGCUGAGUGUGAUGCCUGUAAUCCCAGCUACUUGGGAGGCUGAGACAGAAGAAUUGCUUGAACCCGGGAGGUGGAGGCUGCAGUGAGCCGAGAUCGCACCACUGCACUCCAGCUUGGGUGACAGAGAGAGACUCCGUCUCAAAAAAAUAAAAAAGACUGAGAGAUGAGAGAUGUGCACAACCCAAAAUUACAAAAUUAUAUUUGGAAACAUACAUUAAAGAUAGCCUGUGGCUCACGCCUGUAAUCCCAACACUUUGCAAGGCCAAGGCUGGUGGAUCACUUGAGGUUAGGAGUUCGAGACCAACCUGGCCAACAUGGCAAAACUCCAUCUUUAUUAAAAAUACAAAAAUUAGCCGGGUGUGCUGGCACCCGCCUGUAAUCACCCAAGAGGCUGAAGCAGGAGAAUCGCUUGAACCAGGAGACAGAGGUUACAGUGAGCAGGGAUCGUGCCACUAUACUCCAGCCUGGGCAAAGAAGCGAGAGUCCAUCUGGAAAAAAAAAAAAAGGUAGCUUAAAUGAAUGAGAGAUAUAGCACACUUAUGAAUAGGAAAAUUUAAAGUCAUAAAGAAGUUAGUUGCCCUGUAUUAAUAAUAUGUAUUUGAGAUAACUCCAAUCAAUAUUCUAUCAGGAUAUUCUAGGAACUUGACAACA
rnacentral:lncRNA from 10 species